rnacentral:lncRNA from 1 species
UUUACCUCAGCCCUCACGGCCUUGUUUCUCAUUAACUCAAAGUGCCACAUAUAUACACAGGGGAUGAGCACCCAUGCCACUACGCACGUCCACCUCGCUCGAUAGUGCGGAGGACUCGGCCGGCCCGGCCACUACUCAACAGACUCCAUGCAUGCACGGCUAGAUGACCAACCCACUAAGCAACUAAUGCAUGCACCACCUAAUUACUGCUACUAUGCAUGCCCACAUACACCACUUUGGCAGCUUCUUCUCAACAGCCGCACAACCUGGUCAGCACAUGUACACAUGCAUCUAACAACCGGACCAGAGCUUACCGGAUCACCCGACUCAACCUACCAUGUUCAAGCCUCUUGCGCGACUUGCCACUUCAUGCAGCACCACGGCUUCACGCCGCCUAGGCAUCUCGCCAUACUCGCCGCAUCGCACGACAUCCGGCAUCUCGCCUCCUCUGCGCAUCUUCGCUGAAACUUUGCCGGACUAGCUACUCUCUAAACUAUGCUACAUGCAUGACGAAAGCAAACUAAAAUGUUGAUACAAUAAUAUCAAGAUUACCGCCAACAUUCAACCCCUAAUCUUGAUAUCAUACUCUUCGACGCAGAUCACCCGCAGCCACUUGACGACGCCAUCGCAGCGCCGCAGCCGGCCACUCGCCGCCACCGACACCGUCGCAGCGCCGGUCACCAUGGACCAUCUUAUCAUGGAUGACGUCCUCGCGACGUCAAUCACCACACCAUCAUCAUCUUGCGGCAUCGCACCGCAUCUCCUUGUAACGGCCUCGCACCGUCGUCGUGGCAGCCUCGCACCACCGUCUCCUACUAGCGGCAUCGCACCGCAACCUCCUGUUCGCGCGGCAUCACACCGGCAAACACCUCCUUGUCGCGCCACCGGCCUCCAUCUCGCAUGGAGUCCGCCAUGACGCCGCCGCCGUAGCCUCCGCCACCGCCACGCCGGCCACCAUAGCCACAGCUAUCGCCAUCACCGCCACGGAUCGACAAGGCUCUGAUGCCAAUCGUUGGCGCCGCCUCUCGCAGCGCCACUCUUCUUUUUCUACCUUGAGCUGCCUGGCACAACUCUCAUGGGGUUCGUCUCUUCUUCUCUCAACACACACACACACACACGUAGGAACUCUACACACACACGCCAAGGCAAAGUCCAGCCGCUAGCUUUGCCGGUCGGGAGGCUCUUCACCUUGGUGAAGCCAGAGACUACAUUUUACCUCAGCCCUCAUGGCCUUGUUUCUCAUUAACUCAAAGAGCCACAUAUAUACACAGGGGAUGAGCACCCAUGCCACUACGCACGUCCACCUCGCUCGAUAGUGCGGAGGACUCGGCCGGCCCGGCCACUACUCAACAGACUCCAUGCAUGCACGGCUAGAUGACCAACCCACUAAGCAACUAAUGCAUGCACCACCUAAUUACUGCUACUAUGCAUGCCCACAUACACCACUUUGGCAGCUUCUUCUCAACAGCCGCACAACCUGGUCAGCACAUGUACACAUGCAUCUAACAACCGGACCAGAGCUUACCGGAUCACCCGGCUCAACCUGCCAUGUUCAAGCCUCUUGCGCGACUUGCCACUUCAUGCAGCACCACGGCUUCACGCCGCCUA